GGCACCUUAAUUCUUGGAUUUUCCACAUUUUCAUUGGGAAAGCUCCUAUUUGCUCUCUUUGAAUCUGUAUCACUUCAUGCAGUCCUGCCAAGGGGGGACGCUUUGCGGGACACUGGCACUUUAGCACUUGAAAUAGUAAGAUGAACAGAACAAGCAAAAAAAGGUGGGAAAACUGGAAAGAUUGAAUGUCCUCGGGAGUGCACAGAGGUUUGGCAGUGGGAGAAGAAAAACAAAACGGAGCCUGGUGGGAGUGUGGAGCAGACUUUCCCGAGAUCCCAGUUGUUGAAAUUUAAAGAGUGGCAAUUUAUAAACAACAUUAUGUAAUCACUGAAACCAGCCAUCAACAAUGAAAAGAAAAAAGACAUGGCCAUAAAAUGUUGAACUUGAUUAUGGAGAUGCUGGAGGCCUCAGAAUAUGAAAGAGAAUGAAUAAAAGAUUUCUAGAUGUGUCAAAAUGAGGAUUCUUGGAAGAUAGGUGUCAGCAAAAUGGCAGAUCCAGAAGCUGCAUUCUCUUCUUCCUCAAACAUAAACAAGAAUGACAACAACAGCAAGAAACAACCAGAAACUGUGGGAACCAACUUUGUAGGAGUUCUGGCACAUAAUCAGACGUUUACAGCCAUCAAGGAAGUGCUCAAUCAAGAAAAAGCGAUCUUCAAACUGUUAAGGAAGUUUUUAACGUAUCUAGCCUUCAUUCCUUCCCUCACUCCAAGCACAGAGCAGUCUUGAUUUUGAGCAAUGAAAGCCUGUUACUUGUUGCUCUCCCUGAACCGGAAGAAGCAGAGCAGUCUUGAUUUGCAAAUUAUUGUAUAUGUUCAUUCUAACUUGUUUGGGAGGUACUUGAGUAACUGACUUGCACAUCUUCAUCUCAUAUAACUAGGAACAUAGGUAGGAAAAGCAACCAGCACUGCUCAUAAAAGCUACGAGGACAACAAAUCCACAGACACCAAAGAUCCUGGCAUUCAAGAAAUCUCUGUCAAAACAUUUGCUGAACACAAGUUAAAGGAACAGAGAGAGUGAGUACACACACCAAAGAAUCAUCUUUGAAAAAAAUAGUUUGUUAAAGUCUCAAAACAAAUGGACUACAACAGCCUUCAAUUAUCAAAACAACAACAAACAAACAAAAAACAGAAAACCCUAGGGAAUAGAGAAUAGCUGAAGUACAACAUCAUAAAAAUCAAAUACCAAUUUUCAACAAAAAAAUCACAAAGCAUACAAUAAAACAGGUUUUGGUUCAUUCAAAGGAACAAAAUAAUUGACAGAAACUGUCCAUUAGCCCAGAUAGUGGACUUACUAAACAAAGACUUUGAAACAACCAUCUUAAAUUGCCUCAAACAGAUAAGGGAAAGCAUGGACAAAGGACUAAAGGAAUUCCAGGACAUAAUGUAUAAAUGAAAGGAGAAUAUCAGCAAACAUACAGAAAUGAUAAGAAGAGAACCACACAGAAAUUCUGGAGCUGAAAAAUAUAAUCACUGAAGUUCAAACUUCACUAGAGGGGUUCAACAGCAGAUUUAAAGAAUAAUCAGUGAACCUGAGGAUAGAAUAAUUGAAUUAUUCAGUGCAGAAAAGAAAAAAAAAUGAACAAAAGUGAACAGAGCCCAGGGCACCAUCAAGGAAACUAACAUAUGCAAAUGGGAAUAGCGAAAGAAGAGAGAAAGGGGAAGAGUGAUUAUUACUUUUUUUAAUUAUGGCCACAUUCUUUUCAAAAAGGAAGAAAGAAAUUAAUCUACAAAUUAAAAAACUCAAUAAAUGCCAAGUACAAUAAACCCAACAAGAUCCUAACUGAGAUGAAUUAUAAUUAAAUUGUUGAAAACCAAAGACAGUAUCAAAUUUUAGAUGCAGUAAUAGAGAAGUGAUUUGACAUAUGAAGGAUCCUCGAUUUGAUUACCCACCAAUUUCUUAUCAGAAACCUGGAGGCAAAAAGGUAGUAGAAUUUGGUGUUCAAAGGGGAAAAAAAACCCAAAACAAUAACAACAACAAAAAAACCCUGUCAACUGAAAAUUCUAUAUCUGGCAAAAUUGUCCUUCACCAAUGAGUGAGCAAUUAUGACAUUCCCAGAUUAAAACAAAAACAAAAACAACUGAGGAAGUUUAUUACUACUAGAACUGCCCUAUAAGAAAGGCAAUCUUUGAGUUGUGGUGGAAAGUCACUAGAUAUAAUUGUGAGAUCAAUAAAGAAUUGAACUUUAUAGGAGUAGAUUUACAUAUGCAAUUGAGGGUAAGUUGAUAUUCAGUCAAGUUAAAAGGUUAUAAAAAAAAGAUAGCCUGCUGAAAGGGAGGAGAUAUUUGCAAAUGAUAUCCAAAAUGUAUAAAGAACUUACACAACUCAGCACACACACACAAAAAUCCAAUUAAAAAAUGGGUA